AGUGAACGCUGGCGGCAGGCCUAACACAUGCAAGUCGAGCGGCAGCGGGUCCUUCGGGAUGCCGGCGAGCGGCGGACGGGUGAGGAAUACAUCGGAAUCUGCCCUGUCGUGGGGGAUAACCUAGGGAAACUUAGGCUAAUACCGCAUACGACCUACGGGUGAAAGCGGGGGAUCGCAAGACCUCGCCCGACAGGAUGAGCCGAUGUCCGAUUAGCUAGUUGGCGGGGUAAAGGCCCACCAAGGCGACGAUCGGUAGCUGGUCUGAGAGGAUGAUCAGCCACACUGGAACUGAGACACAGCCCAGACUCCUACGGGAGGCAGCAGUGGGGAAUAUUGGACAAUGGGCGCAAGCCUGAUCCAGCCAUGCCGCGUAGGUGAAGAAGGCCUUCGGGUUGUAAAGUCCUUUUGUCCGGGAAGAAAUCGUCUGGGCUAAUACCCCGGGCGGAUGACGGUACCGGAAGAAUAAGCACCGGCUAACUUCGUG
rnacentral:rRNA from 1 species